UACGUAGGGUGCAAGCGUUGUCCGGAAUUAUUGGGCGUAAAGAGCUCGUAGGCGGUUUGUCGCGUCUGCUGUGAAAACUCGAGGCUUAACCUCGAGAUGUCAUCGGAAACCAUUUGGCUAGAGUCCGGAAGAGGAGAGUGGAAUUCCUGGUGUAGCGGUGAAAUGCGCAGAUAUCAGGAAGAACACCAAUGGCGAAAGCAGCUCUCUGGGACGGUACUGACGCUGAGACGCGAAAGCGUGGGGAGCGAACAGG
rnacentral:rRNA from 1 species